AUCACAAUAACGAUGUCUGUGUGAACAGGAGAGGUAUGGUGAGAGAAUUAGCAUGGAGGCUUAUCCCUAGAAAGUGACAAACCUUCAAGCCCCUCCCCCAUCUCUUUCUCCUUUUAAGGAUUUUUUUUUUUCAUGUAAAGGUGUCCAUGUAUAGAUAUGUGUAUGUGAGUGUUCUGCCCUUGAAGGGCAAAAGAAGGUGUCAAGUUCACCUAGGGCUGAGCUCAAGGUGGUUGUGAGCCACCUGCCAUGGAUUCUGGGAUCUAAACUCAGUAGUAGAUACUGAGCCAUCUCUCCAGGCCUUUUUAUCAUGAACACUCUUCCAUCUCUGUAUGAUUGGCAGUUCUAUAUGGUUUUCCCCACACAGCACUGUUACUGUUUGUUUGUUAUUUAUCUCUCUCUCUCUCUCUCUCUCUCUCUCUCUCUCUCUCUCUCUCUCUCUCUCUCUCCUUUUCCUUUCGGCUGGGACUAAAUUUCCUAUCUCCAAAUAGACCAUUCCUAUACUGGAUUUAAUAAGCAGUUUCGUUAGUUUCUUUGUGUGGGUGCGACUAUUUUUUUUUGUUGUUUUCAUUGAUUAUCUAAUUGAUUGCUUUCAAAGAUCUGAUUGGUCUGCAGCAGAAGGCUUGGAACUAAUUAAACCCAAAGUCGGGCAAAUCUCGACUCCCAGCUGCGCUUCCUCCCUCAAGGCUGCAGCCAGCGUGAACUGGCUCCAGCUUCAAGGUGUUAGCUGGCUGGCUUAGACCAGAGCAGAUGGUCAAGCCACUGUGAGUCUGUGAGGCCGGAUCACAGGAAGGAAUCACUUUCUGAAUUCCAGAAGCUAAAGAUGGCUCACGUAAGCCGAGACAUUAAUCUUGCAGCUUGGACCAGAAUGUAGACUUUGGAAAAGAGUCAAGUGGAAAAUCCCAUUUCUUUGUGCUCUUUGGAAGAAUAAUGAGAACGUACAGGCUGCACUGGUCUCUUUUCAUUUGCAGCUAUUGAAUUACCUGUUGGCUCAGCUCAUCUUUCUAUUUAAAAUGAGCAAUAAAAUAUACCCUGGGCCGCUGACUGCCUUCGAUACUUUUUACACACCGGUGGAGGUGGAAGCCAGAGGGAAAUUAGUCUCCUCUGCUCUCUCCCCCCACGUCUUCACCGAAGAGAUUCUCUUCGGGGGAUGCCCUUGGCAGCCAGCAGAAAGCAGAGCUACCAAGCAGCUUAGCUCUGACGUCACCUCUUCUGAGAAGCCAUUCCUAGUUUUCCCAGUAAGGAGGCUUGCUUUUUCUGAUUUUAUAUAUAAUAUAAUGUGUGGGGUUUGUGUGUGUGUGUGUGUGUGUGUGUGUGUGUGUGUGUGUGUGUAUGCGUUCACAUGUGUGAGAGCUGUGUGCUCACAUACAUCAAAGCCAGAGGUCAAGGUCGGGUGUUAUAGUCAAGUGCCUUGCCCCCUUAUUAUUAUUUUUAAGGUUUAUUUUUUAUUUAUGUAUCUAUGUGCAUAUCUGUGCUGCCUUGGAGCUGGCCUUACAGGCAGUUAGUUGCGAGCUGCCUGAUGUUUGUGCUGAGAGAUGAACUGGAGUCCUGUGGAAGAGCAGCAAACACUCUUAACUACUGAGCCAUCUUUCCAUGUCCUCCACCUUAGUUUUUGAAACAGUGUUUCUCGCUCAACUCAGAACUCAUUGAUUCCACUAGACUUGAUGACCAGGCAGCCACAAGAUACUUCUGCCUCCACCUCCCCCUGUGCUGGGAUGUCAGGGGCUCACCGCUUAUGUGAGUGUUUUAUGUGGGUGCAGGGGUCAGCACUCAAGGACUCAUGUUUACAUCACAAAAAUCUAACCAACCAACCAAGCAGUUCCCCAGUCCCCGUUUUGCUCUCUUAAUUGAAAAAGAAAAUUAAUAUUUUAUGUUAGUCUUCAAAGUAAUGGGUCUUAUUAUGGUAUUUCAUUACAUGCAAACCAUUACACUUUAUUCUUUCUCUCUCUGUGUGUGGUGUAUGUACACAUGUAUGUGCAUAGAUGUGCCUGCCUAUGGAAACUAGGGGAAGGUGUCAGGUGGCCUGUUCAAUAAUUUUCCAUCUUACUAACUCAAGACAGCCUCUCAGUGAACCUAGAGACAGGCUCUCAGGCAAUGAGCCUCAGCACGGCUCCUGUCUCCAGCCAUCACAGCUCUGGGGUUACAGGCAACACUCAGGGCUCUCCCUGGCUUUAUUAUAACAUUGGUGCUGGGCCUCUGGAUGCACAGCCUCAUGUUUACACAGCAAGCAUUUAUCAGCCGAGCCAUCCCCCCCCCCCCCCCAGCAUGAUUCUACAGCCCAGGAGAGCUUGGUCCCCUUCUCCAUGACUUUUUCUCAUUCCUGCUCCCCAACUUCACCCCAGGUUGUCCUGUGGUCAUGUGAACUACUGCAUCUCCUCUGCUCACCUGACGAAUCUCUAAUGCCCCCCCCCCCAAUAUAGGUGGGUGGGUGGGGCUUCAACAUGUGAAUUGCUUUCCCAAAGGGAUGUGGACAUGAGCUGAAGUUCUCACCAGUGUCGGAGAUUCUGCCAGUCUGAUCAGCUGUUAGGACUUCCAUGACUACGCAGGUCGGAUGGCUCAGUGGGUAAAGGCACCUGCUACUGGGCCUAACUAUUUGAGUAAAAUUCCUGAGAUCCAGAUGCCGGAAGGAGAGAACUAGUUCCUUCAAGGUGUCAUCAAUCUCCAUACAUGGUUUAUAGCAUGGGAUUGUGGAGACUUGAAAUGUUGAAGGUCACAGCUCCAAAUUAUCUUGGGCUAUCUGCCUACUGGCUUGCUUCCCCUGGCUUGCUAAGCUACCUUUCUUAUACUGCUAGCCUUACCUGUUGUUAUUGUUUUAGAGAAAUAACUUGUUUUUUUUUUUCCAUUUUUUAUUAGGUAUUUAGCUCAUUUACAUUAACUUGUUUUUGAGACAAGGACUCGAGUGUCCCAGACUGGCCUUGAAUUUACUAACCACCACAAUGAUCUUUAUAGUUAAUUUUGAUUGUCACCUUGUCAUCAUCUAGAAUCAAACCAGAUGUCUAAGACAGUGUGUCUGUGAGAUAAUUUCUAGACUGGUAAUUGAAGUGGCACAACCCUACCUAAGGGCUGGAGUCCUGGACUGAAUAAAAAGGAGAAAGCUGAGCACCAGCAUCCAUCUCUCUCUGCUUCCCGACUGUGGACACAAUGUAACCAACUGUCUCACCCUCCUGCUGUCAAGCCUUCCCCUGCUGUGAUGGACUGUGCACCCUCAAAUCAGGAGGUGACUUUCAUCGGGGAUUUCGUCAUAUCGAUGAGGAAAAGUAAUAAUACCAGAUGAAAAGGAAGUGGUAAAAAAAGCCACGGAGAACUCAACACCCUUCUUGGCAUGAAGCUAGCUCUGUAUCCCUUGUGCAAAGAUCAAAGGGUUUUAAGAAAUCUGAAUGAGAAUUGCAGAGCUGUGCAGAUAGCCUGAGGAAGCCAUGUCAGAGGUGACAAAUAAUGGGCACAGAUGAAAGUGCUUCAGCUAGCCAUACAAAGAAACUAUUUGGAACAGAAGUAUUAAGGGAGAUGGUAUAAAAGUUAGGCAGAGAGUAAGGGGACGAACACUCACCACUGCAGCACACAUUUGCACAGAAAAAUAUAACACCACCGGGCUGGGGAAGUCUUUCACCUGUGCAAAGACUGAUAAGCCUACCAGAACACAGUUAAUAUGGUGGCCAAUUGGAAGUCCUGCCAGUGGCAAUGGAUUAAACACUAUUCGUUUGGGAAAAAAAAGCAUCUGAGAAAGAAAUGGGGUUGUGGAGAUGGCGCAUGGUAAAUCACUUGCUAUACAAGCUUGACGACUCAAGAUUGGAUCCCCAGCACCCAUUAAAAGCUAGGCUCGGUGACAUGAACCUGUAAUCCCAAUGCUAGGUGGGGGAGGAUGUAGACAGGAAGGUCCCUGAGGCUUUGUGACUGCCAGCCUAGCUCCAGGUUUAAUGACGGAUCCUGUUUCUAAGGAUUAAGGUGGAAGAUGAUUAAAGAAGAUACUGAGCAUCAACUCCUGGCCUCUCUACUCAGGCCCCCAUGGGAGCACAUGUGUGCAUGUGCGUGCGGACAAUACACACGCACACAUGUGCAUAUGAAUAGAAAGAGCUGAGGGUGUUGCUCAGUGGCAGUGCAUAUCCAGGGCCUUGGUUCAAUCCCUAAUGCUGGGAGAAAAAAAAAAUAAAGUUAUUCUUAACACUUUA